rnacentral:rRNA from 1 species
UACGUAGGGUGCAAGCGUUGUCCGGAAUUAUUGGGCGUAAAGAGCUUGUAGGCGGUUUGUCGCGUCGGGAGUGAAAACACGGGGCUUAACCCCGAACUUGCAGUGGGUACGGGCAGACUAGAGUGUGGUAGGGGAGACUGGAAUUCCUGGUGUAGCGGUGAAAUGCGCAGAUAUCAGGAGGAACACCGAUGGCGAAGGCAGGUCUCUGGGCCAUAACUGACGCUGAGAAGCGAAAGCAUGGGGAGCGAACAGG